CCCUACAGCCACCAAAACCCUCCCCCAAUAACCAACAGUAGCAACGCUGCAAUGGAAAAGGAAAACAGAAACAAAAAAGGGAGAGGGAGUCUGAGUCGUGCCAGGGGAAGAGAAGAGGGAGGGGUGAGCCAGCACCGAUAGGCCUCGCCGUCACCACCGAGCUGCUCGCCGUUCGCCUCCAACGUCAAAGAAGAUGGAUAGCUUGUGAGUGAGAAGGUCGUGGGUUGAAGCAGUCGUCCUUGUCGCCGAGGAAGGAGAGGAGGAGAGGCUGCCGCUACCGUCGAGCUUGCCGUCCUCCUCACUGUACCGCCACUGUCGAGCCCACAAGAAUGGAGGAAGCACAGCCGUCGAUUUUGUCAGAUCCCCGACGUGGAACCCUCUGUGCUGCCGCCGUUCGUAUCAUGACCAGAGGGGAGUAGGAGACCAAGAGGGAGGCGUCGCGCAGAGAGGAGCGUUGUCUUGUGCGUCGCUGUUGCACCUGGAUAUUGCCGCUGCUACUGCGAGUUCACCGUCGCCGGAGCUGGGUAGUCAUCUUUGCCAGCAGUGAGAAAGAAGUGAGAUGAAACCCCCCUCUGUGUCUGCUGCUCCGGUCCGCUGAGAAAGGUCUUAAUGCCGCCGGACUGCCGCACGCGAGGAGCGCCACCGUCGGAAGCUGUCGCCGCCUAACCAGCUACUGCAGAAGUUGUCUCCUGUCGUGUAUGGCUGCCGAAAAAGUUGUUGUGGUCACCGGAACCACCGCCGGAGCUUCUGGUUACUUCUGCCGUCGCCGGAAAGUUUGCCGAUAAGGAUUUUAUUUACGGUUUCUGUCCUUUUUGAAUUCCGAGGUUACUAUGGUCACUGCCUGUCGGUUUCAGUCAUCGUGAUUGGAAUUCAUCGCCGCUGCCGCUUGAGGUGGCUCCGGGCUGCCGCCGAGCCGGUUCAGAGACCGCCGCUGUGUCGGUUCAGCCGUUCCUCCUUUGGUUUGAGUUGUUGAGACUAUUGCAAAAGUGGCUUGGAACCGAGGUUUUGGUUGCCAGGAUUUUGAUUGUUGAUUUCGGGUUGAGGCGGAAAGGACUCUGUGACGCGUUUGGGCUAUGAUUUUGCGUUUUGAGGAUAUGGACGCUAAAGUCAUGAAGAGUUUAUUUAGUUAUCAUUGAGAUGCUCUGUAUUGUCUUAGUUAUGGUUUAUUGUACCCUCGCCUUUAUCUUGAUGUAUUCUGUAAGAGGGUUAGGUAUUGUAUUGGAUAAUGCUUGUAAUAUUAUUUAUAUAUAUGUAUAUAUAUGGAUGUAUCAUUUAUGAACUUUUGUAAGUUGUAUGGUAUGUAUGGAUGUACGUAGUCGAACGAAAGUAUUUUUGGGAGCGGUUUUGCGGUUUAAAGUUUUAAACAGACUCAUAUUUUAGUAUUAAAUAGUAUAAGAAUCGUCGUAAUGUCCGAGCUUUCAGAGUUGCGCAGCCGGAAGA